rnacentral:rRNA from 1 species
GACGAACGCUGGCGGCGUGCUUAACACAUGCAAGUGGAGCGACGAACCAGGGCUUGCCCUGGGGCAGAGCCGCGAACGGGUGAGUAACACGUGGGUAACGUGCCCCGAUGACUGGGACAACCCGGGGAAACCCGGGCUAAUACCGGAUGUGCCCCCUCACAUCAGUGAGGUGUGUAAAGGAAGCUUCGGCCUCCGCAUCGGGAUCGGCCCGCGGCCCAUUAGGUUGUUGGUGAGGUAACGGCUCACCAAGGCUGCGACGGGAAGCUGGUCUGAGAGGACGAGCAGCCAGAGUGGGACUGAGGCACGGCCCGGACUCCGACGGGAGGCAGCAGUGGGGAAUCGGGCGCAAUGCGCGAAAGCGUGACGCAGCAACGCCGCGUGGGGGAAGACGGCCUUCGGGUUGUAAACCCCUUUCAGUUGGGACGAAGGUCGGGCGGUUAACAGCCGUUCCGGCUGACGGUACCUUCACAAGAAGCCCCGGCUAACUACG